AUCCAACCGACGAGUCCCAAAUAGGACGAAAUGCGCAUCAAACUGCAU
rnacentral:hammerhead_ribozyme from 1 species